GAGAAAAGAAGCCGUAUUUCUCUUUCUUAUUCACAUAUUUAAAUCCACAAAUGAUUACUAGAUGACCUUGUCACUAGAUAACUCAUAAAUGGUUGUUGAAACGUUACUUAGAAAGUGGCAGUAAAGUUUCAGUACAUUAAACAUUCCUGUCAAGGCAUUUGACCAUUAUCAAAGCUCUACAUGUUUGGAAAACGCUAAACAAAAGCCAGUCUCUAAAUCCCGAGAGAACAAUAUACAAAUUGUCUAAAGUUCUUUGUGAAGGAAAAUAGUAUGUUAGUCAGAUGUCAACAAUAGGGCCUUAUGCCUCAGUUAUAAUAGUCUGUGUGACCAUAUUGGCUGAGCCAGGCUGCUCUUAGGCAGGAUAAGUGUCUGAAGGUAUAAUACUCUCGGGGAGUCAGUCAUCGUGGUCUAGUUGCUCUGAUGAAGACAGUUGACUGUAGUUGACAAUACGUAGUAAUCACUGUCCUGAUGACUGAAUUAGUGAGCUUCAAUUGCCCUUAUAGUAAACAGUCCGUAGCUAUGACAAAGACUCUGCCAGAUGAAGGGCCAAUCUGAUUUUUUUUUAACCUUAACUACAUGUAUCUUAGGUCAGUUCCCUAGAAAACAGAACACGAGAUAAGGCAUAAGUCCUGGUGCUUUGUAUGAGAAGGUACGAAUCCAAGACAUCAGUAGUGAGAUGAGAAGCCAAGGAAGACUGAAGAACAGUGCAUUGCGAUACAGUUUUGUACUAACAAAGAUCCAGCACCAGACUUGAAGAAAGUCCAGCCUUCCUCUCCAAAGGACAAAACUACAGCUCUUUAUCAUAACCCGGAAGAUCUCUUAGAGUGUGUAAGCAGGCCCGUUAGACUGGCCCAACCAUGGGCUGUACGAGGUACUCUGCUUCACAGGAAGGGUUGGGAAGGAACUCGGCAAAGAAAUGAAAUACAAGUACUAGGUAGCAUGCAAGUGAGACAUCCCACUAUUUAUGAUCGCAUCGGUUUAUGAAUCCACUGGAAUAAGAGCUGCCAUGACCCGUCUCUUCCCCCACAAAAGCCCCACCUCCAAAUAUGACUGCCGCUGUCCUGGGGACUGAGCCUUGCCACACAUAAGCUUUGGGUGAGCAUCGCAGACCCAGCGCAUAGCAUCCAGCUCAUGGCAUGCAGCUCAUUCUCAAAUGCACUCAGCAAGUAAGCUGGGCAUCCUCUGGCGCCAGGGUGUCUUUGAGGCACAAAGGAUACGACGAGAAUAUGUCAUACUCACUGGCAUGGCUGGGAUCACAAAGACAGAAAAUCACAAGUGUUAUCAAGGUCGUGGAGAAAUUGGAAGCCUCAUAUACUGCUGCUGGGAAUGUGAAAUAGUGCAGUCACCAUUGAAAGAAAUCUGGCAAUUGCCUGAUGGUUAGACAAAAUUUAUAUGAAACCCAGAAGUUUUAUUUCUAGACAGACACCCAUCAAAAACAGCAAUGUAUGUUCACACAGAAAUCUGUACAGUGUUUACAAUGGCAAUAUUUUUUUUAGAUUUAUUUAUUUAUUUAUUAUGUAUACAGUGUUAUGCCUGCAUGUAUGCCUGCAGGCCAGAAGAGGGCACAAAAUCUCAUUAUAGAUGGUUGUGAGGUACCAUGUGGAUGCUGGGAAUUGAACUCAGGACCUCUGGAAGAGCAGUCAGUGCUCUUAACCGCUGGGCCAUCGCUCCAGCCCAGUGGCAACAUUCUAAGAGUCAACAAACAAAUGCAUAAGCACAAUUGGCUUAUCCACUAAAAGGAAUAAAGUGCUUGAGACAUGUUAUAAUAUGAAUGGAUCUUCAUAUCCAUUGUGCAGGUUUGAAUAUGCUCAGUGCAUGGGAGCUGACACGUUUAGGAGAUGUGGCCUUGUUGGAGGAAGUGUGUCACUAUGUAGGCAGGCUUUGAAAUCUAGGUGCUCAAGCCCUGUUCAAUGAGGACAAGACCCUCCUCCUGGCUGCCUUUGAAUGAAGGUAUAGAACUCUUGGCAACUCCAAGCACAGUGUCUGCCUGCACAGUGCCAUGCUUCAUGCCACGAUGAUAAUGGACUGAACCUCUGAAACUAUAAGCCAACCCCAAUUCAAUGUUUGCCUUUAUAAGAGUUGCCUUGGCCAUAGCGUCUCUUCAUGAGAGUAAACCAGGGGACAAAGUCUGUGUUGGGCUUUUCUGAGACUUCCUUUGUCUGUCUGGUUUUGUUGUUGUUGUUGUUGUUGUUGUUGUUGUUGUUGUUGUUU